AAUUUACUUUUCAUGGGACUCAAAUAUCUUAGAAAGAAUAUUUUCUUUUGUUGUGGUGAAAUCAAAUAAAAUUAGAUACAAAUUUUAAUCACAAAGAAUUUGAGGUAAUAUGGCAUGCCACAAUUCUGUGCAUGUUGUUUUCUAUAAUUUAUAAAAGUGUGUCAUUAUAAUUUUAUUACUCUUGAGAGUCAAAAUACCAUAAUCAUUUCUAUAUAGACUCAACUCAGUCUGAGUAAUAUGCAAAGAAAAAGGAAACUCUACCGACCGAAUGUUCUCUCGGGAUCUUUCGGCGCCACGUAAUGUCCACUGCUCGAUUCUGAGAGCGGCAGAAAACCUACACGCCAAAUGAAAACGGCCUGCAAUGCACUUGAGGUAUCGCGGUAAACUUAGUCGGGCUUAUCAGAUCCCAAAUAGAAAACUCAAUUUGACCUCAUGAAAAUUGCAUUCAUACUGUGCUAUUUUCGCAUGGAUGUUUUUUUUCUAAAUGCCAAGGGCAUGAUUCUCAUACACCUAUUUACUAUUGACACCCAAUCCGAUUUGUAUGAGGAAAAACCAUCAUUUUUUUAAAUGAGACUACCCUUCAUUAGCACGUACGUGUAGACACGGAUUUUUUUCAGAAUUGUGUAGAGAUGGAUAUGCGGUGCCCCCGAGCCAGACUCAACGUGCUACCCUUCCCAGCCAAAAAAAAAAAGAAAAUCCAAAUUCUUGUUCUCCUCCCGUUCCUUUUUCACUGUUCCUUGCCUGAUCCAUAGAUUCAUCCACAUUUGUUGCUAGAUCCUGCCAAGGGAAGAGGACAGGGUGAGAAGGGGGAUUUGCGGCGGAGUGCGGCGGCUGCAUGCUCUCGGCGACGGCAGGUCCUGCAGCUCGACCACACGUGCCUGCUGCUCGCCGCCGCCGUCAGUUGGAUGGCCGUGGAGUUCGGCCCCUUUGAACCUGAGCGGUUCCUCUCCUCCAGAGAGUCCACGGGUGGAGGCAUGUUGUGGGCUUGCUACUUCUGUCAGCUUCCACCUAUGUAAUGUGCUACAACUUUGCAUCAUUACUACUUGCUGCACACCGGCUGAUUCGUCACAGGUAUGCUUCCUCCCUGUAGUUUGAUAAAAAGGUGUAUUCUUUCUAUUUGUUGUUACCAUAUAGUAUUAGCAAGUUAUAUUAUUGAUAUGUGUUUUUAAGACAAAAGAAAAAGGCUUGCAUUUAUUAACUGAAUUUGGUCCAUAUGUGUUAAUUGAUAUGCAAUAGAGUUUUCGCAUGUGUUGUAGGUGAUGCAUAUAACACUGGAGCUUUUUUCAUUGUUCUCCUCAACUGAAAAGGCUAGACAGAAGAGCCGUUACCAAGAACAUAAAACUCACUAAAGUGCAUGUUUGAAUUUAGUAGAUCUUCCAUAGUAACCAUGAAUGUAAUUAGAAAAUGCAUGCAGGGAUUAAAUACGCAAAUUGUACAUUGACGACCUAUGGAAAAUAUCUGAACCCGAAUGGAUGAACUGAUGAUUUAGAACAACUCUUACUAACCUUUCAAAUUUCAGAAUUUACGGGAAUCACUUGUCGCAUAUGUCAUCUUCUACAAAAAUACUCUGCCGACAACAAAAUAGCUAUUGUUACUUUAGGACUACAAAAUAAUCUAUUAGACUCAUUUUACAGCGAUAAGAAAUAUCAUAUAGCAUGUUGUACAUGAAAAAAAUUGUGCAAUAGAAUUGUAGCGUUGCCUUUCACUUAUAUUAGACACUCAAAAACUAUAGUUAGUGUCAUAGAAACAUAGACUGAUUGGAACAUAUCUAGUAGAAUAUAGCCUUCAGGUGCAGAACUGAAACAACAUGCAACAGUACGAUUGUCUCUGACCACCCAGAUAAAUGUAUAAUAGUCCUUCCAUAGUAACCAUGAAUGUAAUUAGAAUUAUUUAAAAAAAUGAAUGUAAUUAGAAAAUGCAUGCAGGGAUCAAAUAUGCAAAUUGUACAUUGGUAACCUAUGGAAAAUAUCUUAACUCAAAUGGGUGAAUUGAUUACUGAGAUCAACUCUUACUAACCAUUCAAAUUUCAGAAUUAAUGGAAAUCACUUGAAUUUAUAAGGAUUCACACACAUAUCAUCUUCUAGGAAAAAUCUGCACACAAUACAAUACUAUUGUUACUUAAUGACUACAAAAAUAAUCUAUUAUGCUCAUUUUUCAACAAUAAGAGUUGCAUAUAGCAUCUUGUAUAUCAUAAAAAUUCUGCAAACAAUAGUAGCUGUUGUUACUAACACAUUGUAUAAUAUGUAAUCUGUUAUAUCCUGAAUUCAGGACCUUUACGCAUUAGUCCUAAGGAUAGCAGUUAGCUUGUAUACAUAAAUUUACCCUUUUUCAAACUGUAAAUCUAAUAUGCACAAUGAUCUGAAAAAAAUACCAUUGGAUUUGGAUAUACAUGUCUUUAUACAUUUUGUCAAACACUUGGCAAACAUGUCCAAAUUCUAACUAACUGUUAGACAGAGGAGGGCUAGGAGUUGAUUAAAUCUAGAAAGAGGAUAGGGCCAUGUUUCAAACAAUUCUGUUAUUACGCCAAGUAAUACCUGCAUCUAGGGUCGAUUUGGUUCUCUUUAUGCCACUUGUAAGUCACAUCCUUGGUGGUCAUCUUACUAUGCUUGUAGACCAUGCUGAUCUAUCCUCUUGCAGACAGUCCUACAUGCCUUGAUCGACUUGUAUAUGACACAACUCCAAGAUAGCACGAUAGCAUUCUUCUUGCUUUGCGACAUGAUUCUUGUCAAGUGUUUCCUAUGGACAGGAACAUGAUGAUGAGACGCGACUGGUUGCUGCUCGGGAGGCGGAAUCUUCAACACCUAACCGAUUGAGGAGAAGAUCUUGUGGAGAGUGGACACAGAAGGCAUGGCUUCGAGGUUUCAGUGGCGCUGUAGGAUGUGAGCUGCAGCCACACAUGAUAGGAUGAAUAGUGCGGCCUUAGAGUAGACCAUCAGAAACCCUAGAACUGGGCUGCUCGAGAGGCAUAGUUUUGGGGUUUCGGUGGAUCUAUAGGAGGUGAGCUGCAGUUGCACAGGAGGAAUAGCUCGGCCCUAGGGCAGACCAUCAGAAACCCUAAAACCUGGACUGCUCUAGAGGCAUAUGGCUUUGAGGUUUCGGUAGAGCUGUAGGACGUGAAUCAGAAUCAGCUUCUAGAGCGUACAUCUCUUUUGUAUGCAACGUGUCAGGAUUUUUUUUUACCAUAUUGAUGCCCGUACGUGAACCUUUUUUUGAAGUGGCAUGUACGUCAACCUAACUCUUCCUACCUUUUUUUACGUGCUGACGCUUCCUUGCCUAGUCGUUUUUUAUGCGCUGA